rnacentral:rRNA from 1 species
UGGGGAAUCUUGGACAAUGGGGGCAACCCUGAUCCAGCCAUGCCGCGUGAGUGAUGAAGGCCUUAGGGUCGUAAAGCUCUUUCGCCUGUGAAGAUAAUGACGGUAGCAGGUAAAGAAACCCCGGCUAACUCCGUGCCAGCAGCCGCGGUAAUACGGAGGGGGUUAGCGUUGUUCGGAAUUACUGGGCGUAAAGCGCACGUAGGCGGACCAGAAAGUUGGGGGUGAAAUCCCGGGGGCUCAACCCCGGAACUGCCUCCAAAACUAUUGGUCUAGAGUUCGAGAGAGGUGAGUGGAAUUCCAAGUGUAGAGGUGAAAUUCGUAGAUAUUUGGAGGAACACCAGUGGCGAAGGCGGCUCACUGGCUCGAUACUGACGCUGAGGUGCGAAAGUGUGGGGAGCAAACAGGAUUAGAUACCCUGGGUAGUCCACACCGUAAAACGAUGAAUGCCAGUCGUCGGGGUAGCAUGCUAUUCGGUGACACACCUAACGGAUUAAGCAUUCCGG